rnacentral:rRNA from 1 species
ACGGAGGAUGCAAGCGUUAUCCGGAUUUAUUGGGUUUAAAGGGUGCGUAGGCGGAUGAUUAAGCGUGAGGUGAAAUGCCACUGCUCAACAGUGGAACUGCCUCGCGAACUGGUUGUCUUGAAUGCUCCUGCCGUGGGAGGAAUGUGUGGUGUAGCGGUGAAAUGCAUAGAGAUCACACAGAACACCGAUUGCGAAGGCAUCUCACGAAGGGGUGAUUGACGCUGAGGCACGAAAGCGUGGGGAUCAAACAGGAUUAGAUACCCUGGUAGUCCACGCAGUAAACGAUGAUAACUAACCGCUGGGUCGUAGUGAUUCAGUGGCCAAGCGAAAGCGAUAAGUUAUCCACCUGGGGAGUACGACCGCAAGGUUGAAACUCAAAGGAAUUGACGGGG